GAAGCACGAGUAACGCAUUACAUCGCUUUGUCAAGGCGAAGGCUUGGGUUAAAUCCCCGAGUGCUUCU
rnacentral:tRNA from 1 species